rnacentral:rRNA from 1 species
AGUGAACGCUGGCGGUAGGCCUAACACAUGCAAGUCGAACGGCAGCACAGUAAGAGCUUGCUCUUACGGGUGGCGAGUGGCGGACGGGUGAGGAAUACAUCGGAAUCUACUUUUUCGUGGGGGAUAACGUAGGGAAACUUACGCUAAUACCGCAUGCGACCUACGGGUGAAAGCAGGGGAUCUUCGGACCUUGCGCGAUUGAAUGAGCCGAUGUCGGAUUAGCUAGUUGGCGGGGUAAAGGCCCACCAAGGCGACGAUCCGUAGCUGGUCUGAGAGGAUGAUCAGCCAAACUGGAACUGAGACACGGUCCAGACUCCUACGGGAGGCAGCAGUGGGGAAUAUUGGACAAUGGGCGCAAGCCUGAUCCAGCCAUACUGCGUGGGUGAAGAAGGCCUUCGGGUUGUAAAGCCCUUUUGUUGGGAAAGAAAAGCAGCAGGUUAAUACCCCGCUGUUCUGACGGUACCCAAAGAAUAAGCACCGGCUAACUUCGU